GCUGUUCGGUGAUGAGGCUCAGAGUGCACGCUGGGCACAGCGCCCGAAUCAGACACUGUGGAACCAUUCUCUACUGCCUUCCUUCUGAGAACAGC
ensembl:snoRNA